rnacentral:misc_RNA from 1 species
GAAAUGCGAUAAGUAAUGUGAAUUGCAGAAUUCAGUGAAUCAUCGAAUCUUUGAACGCACAUUGCGCCCCUUGGUAUUCCGAGGGGCAUGCCUGUUCGAGCGUCAUUACAACCCUCAAGCUCUGCUUGGUAUUGGGCUCCGUCCUCACUGCGGACGCGCCUCGAAGACCUCGGCGGUGGCUGUUCGGCCCUCAAGCGUAGUAGAAUACACCUCGCUUUGGAGCGGUCGGCGUCGCCUACCGGACGAACCUUCUGAACUUUUCUCAAGGUUGACCUCGGAUCAGGUAGGGAUACCCGCUGAACUUAAGC